rnacentral:rRNA from 1 species
CCUACGUGCAGCAGCAGUGGGGAAUAUUGCGCAAUGGGCGAAAGCCUGACGCAGCGACGCCGCGUGAGGGAUGAAGGUCUUCGGAUCGUAAACCUCUGUCAGCAGGGAAGAACGGUCACUGUGCUAAUCAGCAGUGAAUUGACGGUACCUGCAAAGGACGCACCGGCUAACUCCGUGCCAGCAGCCGCGGUAAUACGGGGGGUGCGAGAGUUAAGCGGAAUUACUGGGCGUAAGGCGCUCGUAGGCGGUAUGUCAAGUCAAGGGUGAAAUCCCCGCGCUCAACGUGGGAGCUGCCUUUGAAACUGGCAAACUGGAGUGUGUGAGAGGAUAGUGGAAGUCCAGGUGUAGGAGUGAAAUCCGUAGAGAUCUGGAGGAACAUCAGUGGCGAAGGCGACUAUCUGGCACAUAACUGACGCUGAGGAGCGAAAGCGUGGGUAGCAAACAGGAUUAGAUACCCGUGUAGUC